rnacentral:lncRNA from 1 species
GAGAAAAACAUUUCUUGGUACUUUUUGAGCAUCAAAUAAAAAUUUAAGUUAAUUAUCCGAAUCAAUUAUUCAAACUCAGGUUCUAGAGGGAUACUAUUCGGAGGCUUCGGAAAAAGAUAUUAUAGCUUUGGUGUCCAGGUAGGCUAGGCUUACCCUACCUUUAGAUUGAUUUUAUUUACUGAAAUUGAAAACUAUUACGCUAGCGUUGGAUAGGUGCUUGUAGAUGCGUAUCAUGUGAUUUAUAUAAACUAUCGUAUUUAUCUGGAUUAGGAUCCCGUUUUAGUAAAUAUUGGAAUAUUAUUUUUUUAGUAUAAUAUAGCAUCUAUUACUUUAGGAUGUGAAACUAAAAUACAAAAAUCUUGAAUUUAUUCCUUUUUAAUUAAAAUUAACGGAUGAUUAUUUAGAUGUUGACAUUGUUAUGAUAUGAUAUGGAUUUUAAUAUUACCGUUGGGUAUGGUUACUAUGAGUUUCGGUUCGAUUCUGGCAUUUGAUUAUUAAUGAUACUAUGAGUUUCAGUUCGAGUCCGACAUUUGAUUAUUAUGGUUACUAUGAGUUCCAGUUCGAGUCUGGUAUUUGACUAUUAUGGUUACUAUAAGUUCUGGUUCGAGUCCGACAUUUGAUUAUUAUAGUUACUAUGAGUUCCGGUUCGAGUCCGGCAUUUGAUUAUUAUGGUUACUAUGAGUUUCGGUUUGAGUCCGGCAUCUGAUUAUUAUGGUUACUAUAAGUUCUGGUUCGAGUCCAGUAUUUAAUUAUUAUGGUUACUAUGAGUUCCGGUUCGAGUCCGACAUCUGAUUAUUAUUGUUACUAUGAGUUCCGAUUUGAGUCCGACAUCUGAUUAUUAUGGUUACUCUGAGUUCCGGUUCGAGUCCGAUAUCCGAUUAAGAGUUUUAUAUAUGUGGCCUAUCGUUAUUACCCACUAUGUACGGUUCAAAUCCAGCGCGUAUCCUCUCGUUGCUACCCAUUGAUAUCGAUUUGAGUCUAGUGCACAUCUGGACGACUAUCAUGAUUGCUUGAGAUAAGUUCAGUUACAGAUUAUUUAUGUUUAUUUUCACUACUUGUGUGUCCCACCGACUUAUGAGGUUACGAUUGGGUUAACUAUCUUCUUCAGUGUGCCUAGCGAGCUUAUGAAGGCCCAGUUAGGUUAUAUUUGACUUUUCUAUCAUUACUGCAUUAUGUAUUUUCUGUAUUGCUUACAUUUAUUCCUUUAUCUUAUUGGCGUAGCUUGGCAGUUUUUUACCCUUUUUGUCCCUUUACUGUUGACUUGGAUGACCUCUUUGCAUUGUAGUUAUACCUUUUCUGUAUUGAACUCAGUCGGCCGAUGAUGCUUACUGAGUACCCGUUGUUUUGGUAUUCAUACUACACUUCUGUAUCUUUUUCCUGAUGCAAAUUCGAGUACUAGCAGUCGACAUUGACGUGACUCCUACCUUCUAGAACUUAUUAAGUGCAGGGUCAGCUUGGUGUCGUCCGAGGCUGAUCCUCCUCUAUCUACUCCAGUUAGUCUUUACUUUCGAGACUGUUUGUGUAUACUAUGUACAUUUUAGAUUUUUAUCUAAUACUCUGGGUAUCUAUUAGUAGUGGCUCUAGUACUGACUUUAUUAGGUCUUGGGAGGGAUUCAUUUGUAUAGUUGAUCCUUUUUCCUCCUCUCAUUUUAAUAUAAUGUAUAUGCUCUCUUCUUAGUUUUCACUUAUUAUUGAUGUUGCUAUCUUUAUACGUGAUCUUUUAUUUGGUCUCUGCCUGUUGGCCCGUUACCUAUCAUUCUGGACUUUGGCUUGGCUUGCCUACUGGUGGAUUAAAGUAGGCGCCAUCAAGACUUGAGAAAUCGGAUUGUGACAUAAUGUAAAGUAUAACCCAUUCGUUUACGAAUCUUAUGAAGAUCAUGGCGAAAAUGUAGUGAUGAUUGUAAAGUUUCGUAUUCCUCUUCUUGUAGUACUUCUUUUCAAGGUCGAAUAGAUAUGAAUAUUUAUGCUAACUAUAAUAGAGGUUGCUCCAUGGGAAUGAAAGAGUGUACAUCUCCAAAGCUUAGGGGUACUACAUUUUACUCUUUUUUUCCUAGUGCCCAAACAUAGAAUUCAAGAUCUUUCUACUCUCCCAAUCAAUGUGAAAGAGUCGGGUCCCAAAGAAUAUCUUGACUGAGAAUGGGAGUAUGAAAGGAUCUUCAUGGAUCAUGAUAUGAAUGGAUUUGAAAAAGCUACGCGUGCCACUAGACAUAUUUAAGGUCUGACAUCAAUUUGGUGGGACAUCAAAAGAAAGUCCGACCAAACAUGGAGUACCUUGAAGGAAUUCAUGAGGGGUGCCCAUGUACCAUUGGGGCAUACGAAGCUUUACAAUGUUGAUCAAAGAAGAAAUGUUCAUUCUGAAAAGGUAAAUAUUUGUGCAUUUCCAGGAUGCCCUCUUGUUAUAGACGAAUGGUGCUAUAGGAACUACACCAUUCCACCCAUGGUUGACCAUCUAGGUAUACCUCGAGAACCUCUACUUGUUCCUUACUUCUUGGAUGGGUAUAAGGUUUUUGAGAGAGUGAAGGUUUUCUUCACCCAAUGUGGGUACUAUGAGGAGGUGUGGUGUGACUCUUCCCCUUGGAACAAGGUCAUUUAUGCUUUGGUGCUGAUUGGUUUGCACAAUAUAGAUUUCAAAUGUGCAAAAUUGUCCUAAGAUUGUAAAAGAUCAAUAGGGAAAUCAUCUCUUUCCAUCAAUUCUUCCCAAAUGUCAAAGAGAUGUGACAACUUACUCCAAGCCUAAAGAAAUUAAGAGACAAGAGAUUGAGAGGAGUGAGGGGGUGCAAGGUGGCAACCUAAAAGAGGGGGAAAAAGUGAGGAGUGAAGUGAGGGGAUUUUCACCAACCAGAGCUAACAUUGUUUGUCCUUCUUUUAAUAAGGACAUUUGUGUAGAUACCAACAUGGCAAACGGAGGAGAACAAGUCUCAAAAGAAAAGAUUCCCUUUAAAGAUUUGAUGAGGGUAAUCUUAGAUGCUUAGAAAUCUUAUGGAGUACCUUCACACCAAGGUAAAAAAGAAUAUUCUCAAGAACUUCAAGGUAAAAUAGCUAACUUUUACACUAUUGUGCAUGAGAAUGAUGAUUGUGUGGCUAGUAGCCCAUUGAGUGUGAGUAGUAGCUUACCUACAUGUGAGUCUAACUAUUCUUUACCUCUUUAUGAUGAUGUACAUGUUGUGAAAAUGGAUACACUAGUUGAUCCUAUUGAUGAUUGAAUUGACUCUUCUUAUAAGAUCAAUUUGUGUCCACCUAUUGUUAAAGCCAUUUUGUUGAAUUAUAGCACAUCAUCUUGUGAAAAUAAUGUUGAUCAACUUUUGUGUGAAACUUACCCACCAUUUGAGGAUGUGUAUGAUGUGAUUAAUGAACCUCAAGUGAGUGAUAAUAUUGAAAAUAUUGAUCAAGUGAAUAGGAGUGACCCUUUGAGCAUGUCCUCUAGUGAAGGUCAUAAUGAUAGUUUGGCUCGUAGGGAUAGUCAUGUGUUUGAAACAUCUUUGAUGCUUGAUAAUUGUCUUUUACAGAGUGAACUUGCAUAUUCUACAUCCUUUUCUUGGAUAAACCUUUUUAUCUUUAAGAACAAUAUCCUAUUUGAAGAUGAUGAAAUCACUCCUAAUAAAUUACCUUGUGGUGUGUAUAGCAUUGAUGAUGCAACUCAUCUUGAGGGUUAUAUCAUAUAUGACAACCUACUAUGGUGUGACAACAUUCCUUCUAAAGAUGGAAAUAUCUUCUUGGAUGAUGAGAGUACCCUUAAGGGAAAUAAAUUUGAAGUCUUGGAAAGGAAUAGUCAAUUUGAGUGAUGAUAACUUUGAUUUGCCUGAAUAUUUGAGAAACCUAAUUAAUAAUUGUUCCUAUGAAAAUGCUCGUGGUUGUGAUCCUUUGUACGACACCCCACCUUUGUUUGAUAAUUAUGAGGAUGAAUUCCUUACUUCUUGUGAAGACUUAAGCAAUAGUUCAUUUGAAGUUAGUGAUGGUAUAUGUCUACUUGAGGAUUCUUCCAUUGAAGGAUAAAGUAUCAAUUGUUUAGAAACCGCUUCUUCUUCUACUUUCUAUGCUCCUAUUAUUGAGAAUACUCCCGACGAUGAUCUUGAAUCUAAUAUUGAGUACAUACAUGAGGACAUCUUAGUUAAAGUUGACUUGAGUGAUACCUUUCUCUACUCUCCCUUGGUUUUUGAUGAUGCUUAUACUAAUGCAAAGAGUAUAUCUUUUAGUUUGGUUGAAGCCUAUAGGUAAAAAGAGUGUUGUCUAGAUCUGUGUCUAUGUCCACUCUAUCCAUUUGACCCCGGUGCCAAAUUUGGAUAUGGUGAUUUUGGUACACCUAAUUUUUUGCUUCGUCUAUGUGACAAAAAAAAUUUGAGUAAGGAUGUUGGUACCCUUUCCUAUGAUGGAAAGUCUUUUGUGGGGAUAUAUGAUCCUCUAAAUGGAUCAACAUUGUGUAAGGAAAAGAUCUCCAACAAAGAUGAGAAAUUUUUAAAGAAGAGGAGUAGUGAAAAGCUCCAAGAGAGUUCACCAAUGUGUGUCUCUACUCUUGACCAAGGUUCUACUACAUGUAGGUCAAGAAAGUUUUCUCUUGAAACUAAUUUGGAUGAAUUCCAUUCAUGUGAUAUCCUCCUUCAAUGCUUGAGUAGAAUUGAUGACCUCCUUCUUAAAGGUGGUAUCAUUCUUAAGAACCCGAGAGAAAAUGUGUCCUUGUCUUCUUUGGGUAUUACUUAUAAACUUGCAUCCUUGCUUGACACACUUGUGCUUAAAUUGUGUAACAACCAACUUGUGCAUGCCAAGUUGAUUAUUUGCCUGAAAGGAAGAAGUCCUACCGACUGAAGUGUCUUGACUCCAUCCUUGUGCGCAUCAUGUGCUAAGUAUUUUGAGCCAAAUGACAUUCUCAUUGAUAAUAACACCUUGGAUGAUUUUUUUUACACUUGAUUCCUUUCUAUACUACCAUUUUUUCCGUGAUGAUAUCCAUACUAGUCUUGGAUGUGUUUUAUGUAGAGGUGGAAAAAUUAUUGGUUUGUUCACUUGUUUGAGUAAUAAUGUUAUAUGAAUUUUGUAGACUUGAGAACCAAUAGAGGCACCACCUUUGGUGUGGUCUCUUGAAGAGAUAAUGAAGCAAUUGUGUCUUAUGACUCAUAUGGUGAAGGUAGUUCUACCUUUUAGAUUAUUUGAUGCCAUUAGGACCUUUGUAGUUUCCUUAUCUCUUGAUGAUUUCCCUAACCAAAUCCUUUGUGCAUUUUUCAAUGAGUUUCUAGUGUUUAACAUAUCGUGUUUUUUAUCCUUCCUUUGGUUUUGCAAGGUUUGGAUCUGAGGUCGAAUCCUUUUCAAGAAGGGGAGGAUGAUAGAAGUUAAAUAGGCGUCAACGCUUUUGAUCACACAACUUGAGGCCAACAUAAGGAGGUCUAAGACUUGAUCGCCCUAAGGAUCCAAGAAUGUGCUUGAAGGCCCUUCUUCGAGCUUCUAAAAAAAUGUCGUGCUUGGAAGAUAGCUUGGAUCCAAGGAAAUCCAUGGCACAAGGAAUAAAGAGAUCCCUUAUGGGUUAUUUCCAAAAUUGCCA